CUCCCUUGUAGUCCAGUGGUUAGUAUACUCUGCUUUCACCGGAGCAGCCAGGGUUCAAUUCCCUGCGGGGAGA
rnacentral:tRNA from 1 species